rnacentral:tRNA from 1 species
CUUUAAGAGAGAAGAACUAUAUCUAAAGGGGUUUCGGCCCCCUCAAAUCUGAGUAUAAUCUCAGUCUCUCUU